GACGAACGCUGGCGGCGUGCUUAACACAUGCAAGUCGAACGGAAAGGCCUGCUUUCCCUUGUGGAUUGCGGGUACUCGAGUGGCGAACGGGUGAGUAACACGUGAGUGAUCUGCCCCCAACUUGGGUAUAAGCCUGGGAAACUGGGUCUAAUUCCCGAUAGGACUGCAGGGUGGUGCCUGUGGUGGAAAACGAUUUUCUAGUGGUUGGGGAUGAGCUCGCGGCCUAUCAGCUUGUUGGUGGGGUAAUGGCCUACCAAGGCGGCGACGGGUAGCCGGCCUGAGAGGGUGGACGGCCACAUUGGGACUGAGAUACGGCCCAGACUGCGACGGGAGGCAGCAGUGGGGAAUAUGGCGCAAGGGGCGGAAGCCUGAUGCAGCGACGCAGCGUGGGGGAUGACGGCCUUCGGGUGGUAACCUCCUUUCGACCGCGAGGAAGCCACCUGGUUGGAAGGGUGGUGACGGUAGUGGUAGAAGAAGCACCGGCUAACUACGUG
rnacentral:rRNA from 1 species